UUCCAUCGUAGGAAAUAGCAGAGGCCUUCAUCUAUGGGAUUUCAACGACACGUUUCCACAGCUGCCUGUGGCUCGAUUGAAACGCUGGGAGGAGGAAAUGAAAAUGUAUUUGCUACAGAAUUCAUAUUCUUGGCCUGGUGCCUGUUCAUUUUGCUGAUUACAGCUGAAGCAGAACCUCCCAAUUAACCUCCAUUGCCCAGUGCUAGUCCAUGCUGUAGCUCUGGGUUAUUCCCUGGAGACGCAUCGUUUGGGGAAUGCCAGAAGAAGCCCAGAAGAAAUCCCCAAUAGGAAGAGAGCAAGAAAAAGAACUGUGGUCAGUGAAACCCCUAGUGACUGAGGGAGGAGAUAACAAGAAAAUUGAAGACAAAGGAAUGUUUGAAACACUAAAAGGACAGGAAGUGCCAGCUCUUUAAUGCGCAUGUGCACGUGUGCAUGUGGUUGCGCUCAGGGGAAGGAUCCGGGAAGUGCUCUCAGUUUGUGGUGAGCUAACCACCGGACUCUGCGCUGCUAGGAGCCCCUGCCUGUCCCUCAGCCAUCCCUCCAGAACACUGUACACAUGGCCACUGACCUCUCAGUGUGUGCGUCCAGCACUGCUCAUUGCAAAUGCUUCACAGAAACCACAGAGGUGAAUGCACUAUUUAUUAGUUUAAGGAGUCUCCUCAAUCCAUUUGCCAUGUUUCAAGCUUAUUCAGAAGGUUUAUUCAAACACUGGGCAUGUUAUUUACACAGCUGUCUUCACUGUCGGUUAACUUCUUUCCAUUUUUUUUUUAUUCAGGCCUUUUGAAGUCAAGCACCUUGCAUAAUGUGUUCUAGAGCACUGAACAUUCUAAAAAUAUGGCCUAUCCCUCCCAAGAACUGUUUCCCAUUUCCUUACAACCUACCCCCGCCCUUAACAUACAAGUCUUGAAUUUCUUUGGGUGGGGAGUGUUUAUGUGUGCUGUUGCAGCAGCUGUCAUUUGUUAUGCGUUGUUUAUAUUUCGAAUCAUCUUAAAGUAAUUAAUCCUUUGAAAUGCUUCUGCUCGACAUGCCACUGACAGAGGCAGACAGUGCUGUCUAGGGCUGGGCUGCCCCAUUGUUUUUCUGUCCUUCUGGUUCUGAGCACCACACUCUCCUGAUGCUCGUUUCCCCUUGCUGACCUCCACCCACCCCCCAACUCGCGUAAGCCAAGGAGGUCAAACGUCGCACUCCGAACUCCGCCUCGCUGCACGCAAAAAUGUCCCUCGCCGCAGAAGGGGAUGAUGGGAUGGGAGCUGGAGACCAGCGGUCUGAAGAUGCGUUCACACUGGCACAGAAAGCACAAAUUACUGGUUCCCAAAGCUCUGGGGUCUGGAAUCUGCCCCACGGUCUCUCAGGAAGCCAGCAACUGCACCUGGACUGGCCAGCACUCCUGCAACAAGGACCACAGCAAAACUAUGGCAGGACCUCUGCCAAACUAGAAGGUCAGGCAAUAAAAGCCCUGCAAGGAAUCCUCCAUGGCUUUUGUCUAAAACACGUUGUCUGGAGACAAAAAAUGUGUGGAACGCUUGGAUCCCAUUGAAUGUGACCAGAGAGAGAGAGAGAGGAUAUUUGGGUCCAAAAAGCGAACCAGAGAAAUGCAUUAACAUCUGUACUAAGUCAAAAUAAAAAAAAAGUCUUUAGGGCCUCCACAAGCAGAGCCAAUAAAACAACUACCCCAUAAGUAAUUUGGGGGGGGGGGGGGGAGAGGCAUUUUAUAGCACAAGAGUUCAGAAUCAACAGAGGCAGGAGCUGUUAAUUGGUGCCUUCAUUUAUGAUUGUCUGACUAACAGACUGGGCAGCCAAAAAGGGCUGAGCUUGAGCCACUAGAUUCUCAGACUGCCAGGCACACGAAGACACACAUAUACACAUACACACAUACACAUGCAACCCCCAUCACAUACACCACAUUGACCACUUCCACCAGCCCCUCAACGGCACACCAGCUCCUCCCACUCACCUUUCCUUCGCAAUCUCCGCCCCCACCCUCAUCAGAUUCCACUGGAACUCCUUUAACUACCAUGCCACCACAUAUGCACCACCCAGAAUACUCAGGAGCUCCUCAUUUUACAGUAACUUCCUGGAUUAACUUUCCAUUAAUAGAUCAUCAAUCUGACUGAUAUUUAGACUCGGUUUAAAUUUCUUUUUGGACUAGGAUUCCAAACACAUAAACGUGCUAACAUAAACACAAGCAGAAAACAAAUGGUGGCAAUUUGCAUUAACAUUAUUAUCUUGGGCAGUUUAGUGUAAGUACAUGAAGAAUGGCAAUAAACAUUAUCACAUGA